UACGAGUGGCCCAAGCGUUAAUCGGAAUCACUGGGCUUAAAGCGUGCGCAGGCGGGGCGGCAGGCAUCCUGUGAAAUCCCACGGCUCAACCGUGGAAUAGCGGGGUGAACCGCCGUCCUCGAGGAAGGUAGGGGCCAGCGGAACUAUGGGUGGAGCGGUGAAAUGCGUAGAUAUCCAUGGGAACGCCGAUGGCGAAGGCAGCUGGCUGGGCCUUUCCUGACGCUCAGGCACGAAAGCGUGGGGAGCAAACAGG
rnacentral:rRNA from 1 species